rnacentral:rRNA from 1 species
UGGGGAAUAUUGGACAAUGGGCGAAAGCCUGAUCCAGCCAUGCCGCGUGUGUGAAGAAGGUCUUCGGAUUGUAAAGCACUUUAAGUUGGGAGGAAGGGCAAUAAUCUAAUACCUUGUUGUUUUGACGUUUCCGACUUAAUACCCUCCGGCUAACUCUGU